rnacentral:lncRNA from 1 species
GUCGCAACUAACAAUUUAGUCAAAAUAAUUUGUCCGAUAUCUUAUACGGUUUCUGGAAAUGAGUGGAAAUAAGCCUAAUUCAAAAAUUAGAAUAUGACCUUGACCUUUGACCUUGACCUAAUUUUCAUUUUUUUGGACCAAGGACCUCAAAUCAAAAGAUCCUAGGUCUCUAUCACUUAUGGUGUUCCAGUUUAAAAUACAUUUCAAAAUUUCAAAUACAAAAGGGGAAAUAACUCUCAUAUGGAGUGUUCAUAUUGCUUCGGUCGAAAUUGGACAAAUCAUGCGAAGGAUAUAACGAGC